GACGUAGGGCGCAAGCGUUGUCCGGAUUUAUUGGGCGUAAAGAGCUCGUAGGCGGUCUGUCGCGUCGGCUGUGAAAACUCGGGGCUCAACUCCGAGCUUGCAGUCGAUACGGGGCAGGCUAGAGUUCGGCAGGGGAGACUGGAAUUCCUGGUGUAGCGGUGAAAUGCGCAGAUAUCAGGAGGAACACCGGUGGCGAAGGCGGGUCUCUGGGCCGAUACUGACGCUGAGGAGCGAAAGCGUGGGGAGCGAACAGG
rnacentral:rRNA from 1 species